rnacentral:rRNA from 1 species
UACGAAGGGGGCUAGCGUUGCUCGGAAUCACUGGACGUAAAGGGUGCGUAGGCGGGUCUUUAAGUCAGGGGUGAAAUCCUGGAGCUCAACUCCAGAACUGCCUUUGAUACUGAGGAUCUUGAGUUCGGGAGAGGUGAGUGGAACUGCGAGUGUAGAGGUGAAAUUCGUAGAUAUUCGCAAGAACACCAGUGGCGAAGGCGGCUCACUGGCCCGAUACUGACGCUGAGGCACGAAAGCGUGGGGAGCAAACAGGG